AAUUCCACGCCAAAAAUGUCGUUUCCUCACCUUACCUCCCGAUUUCUGCCGACCAAGCUCGCUGCCUCUAUGCAUUCUCCACCCGAUCGUGCCGGCGCCUCCCAACCUGUCGUCGACCAAGUCUUCUAACCACUCUACCCUUUACCUGGAGCUCCACCAGCCAGUCCUCUCUCCGAAUCUUCGUCUCCGCGAAAGACAUCUUUGGCUAGGAGGAGCAGAUCUGAGCCCUAGAUCCGCUGGAGUGAAGCUCGGGUUCCAGCGAUGACUACCUGGUUGUAAUCAGCAUUUUCCAGAGGGGUGUCUCUUCCUUCCGUGGCCUAACACCAAGCUUCUGUCGCCGGUCUCUUUCGCCUACCCCGACGAACGCUUGCUGUGGUUUCCAUUGGGAAGAGAUCACUGACACUAGCAUAGGCUUCGGUCAAGAAAUUGCGACAGCAAGGAUUUCAGCUAGCAAUUUUCGGUAGUUGUUUCUUUAGCUAUGAGACAGCAGGGAAAUGUGGCAGUAAGGGCCUUGAUUUACGAUGAGCCGCUUUACAUGGAGAUAAUAUUCAAGACGCGUUAUAUUUGAGGCGGGUACUGAAGGCGCUGGAAUUCCGUUCUGUUUAAAUUUCUCUGUAUAAAAAUUGUACAAGUACAAAACUUUUCCUAGCAACUCGCAUGUUCGAUCAGACAUGUGUUUGAUCAA